CCGUAAAAUAGCCCAUAAAGUUUUCUCCUCUCCCAAGAUGGCGAUGCCGUCAAAGCGCCGAGAGAGAUCUUCGAUUGCCAUAGGAUGGCGUCGCGAUGAUCCCAUCUGAGGUCUAGGGUUUUGGAAGGUUUUUCUUACCAUUCUUCGUUCUCUCAGUUUCAGUGGACGAGAAGUGUUGGGGAGAUCGUGGGAAGUGAAAGAAGGAACAUUGAAGGGCUUUGGCCGGCGUUGACGUCUCCCAAGCAGCGGAUAAGAGUAGUUCCUGGUGAGCUUCGAAUGGUUUUCUUCUUUGAUUCUUGCUUCAGGUGCUGUUUUUGAUAGAUUUUUUGGUGGAGAAAUGUUGAUGCAGAUAGAAGAAGAAGCAAGCUUUGAUUAGGUUUUUUGCUUGUUAAUAGUUGAUGGGCUGCUGUUGAUUUGGUUUUGGUGCCAUAGCAGAUUGGCUGGCUCAGUUUUUUUGUACUGUUGCCUGAAGUCCGAGAAGUAAAAGAUGUCUUUGUAUGUGGGCCAUCUCUCCCCUCAUGUUCGACGGGAAGAACUUGAACAGAUUUUUCGAAGGUUUGGACGGUGUAGUGUACAACUGAAAGAUGGAUAUGGAUUUGCAGUCUAUGAAGUUACUGCCAAUGCAGAGAGAGCUUUGCGGACAUUGCGAGGCAAGAAAAUUUGUGGGGAGCAGAUAUCUCUUAAUUGGUCUAACAAACAGCCUAGGCCUCUUCAAAGACCUGCAAGGAGCACCAGAUUUUAUGAACCCUAUCAUGAAAGGAACUUCAGGGAAGGCAAUGGUAGAGUUGGGAUCAGGGGUUUUCAAGACCGGAGGGAUUUUCCUACUGGUGCAGCUCGUGUCACAAUGUAUAAUCAUGGAGGGCAACGAUUGGAUAAUGCACCCGAUAAAGAGGCUGGUCAUAUGCGCGAGGAUGCUAAUGAUAUAGAACUUGAUAAAGGUGUAAAUUCGAAGGAGAGAGUAAUGGAUGAAGGUGCAACAACUGAUCUCAAUCCCAUUGAGAAUGAUCGAUGGGGUGAAUCUGGCAAUGACACAUUGACUGGUAAUGGAAUCGAGAAUGGUGAUGAGUUUGACCGCUAUGAACCUUACCACGGUUAUAAUAGAAGCAAUGAGAAUGAAAACAAUCAGAUGGCUAGUUCUUAUGGCUCUCCAGACCGAGGAAGUUCUCAGGAAAAAAGGCGCAGAGAGCACUCUGUUGAUGAUGAUUCUGAGAGAAACCUUGCUAAAUCAAAACCCCAGCAGACCUGUUAUAACUGUGGACUAGUUGGUCACAUAAUGCGUAACUGUCCGCAAGGAGACGCUCGACGAGAGCAGUUUGGCAAGUUUAACCGCAGGAGAGAUGAAAUAAAUUUCCGAGAUAAAGGAGAGGGAAGGCUGAAGCGGUUCAGACCCAGUUCAUGGGGAAGGCCAUAUGCUAGUAGAGAUCCUUUGAUAUCAAGGCACCAUAUGCGGGUAAGAAAGGAAACCCAUUCUGAAAAUGCUAGAAAAGUGUCCAGGACAAGUGAGACUUGUCCAGAAUUUCAGGAAAAACGACGUUCCAAGCUCAAAGGUGAUUCUCGGGAAAAGGAAAUAAGCACGAUGGAACGUGAAGCCCCAAGAAAGGCUGUAAGAAGUAGAAGAAGACGAAGUAGAUAUCAUACAUCAUCACUUUCUUCUGAUUCUUCUACAACAAGCUCGCAAUCACAUUCGGAGUCCCCAAGAUCAAUAUCUAAUUCGGGCUCCCGUUCAUGCUCAAGGACUCCAUCUUCUCGGUCUCGAUCAGCAUCGUCUAGUUCAAGGUCUGCUUCUUUGUCAUCCUAUGCUAAAUCUGCUAGAUCAAGGUCAAGGUCAAGGUCAAGGUCAAGCUUCCCUAGAUCCCUGUCUUUAUCUGUCUCGUUGGAACGGAAGACUGCACCUUCCCCAAAGGAGAAGCAAAUGGAUGUUUGCAUGAAUUCCUCUUUGAAGGGUAAUGUGGAGACUGUGACGAGUCCUGAGUCCAAGCAUUUGGAGAAUACCAAACCAAAAGUUACAUGCUCAACAGUUGAUGAAAAUGCAGUAACUCCAUUUAUGGCGGAUACUGAAAUUGAUGGAAAACAUAUUGGAAAUGAUGGUGAUGUACGAUAUUCUACAUUUCGUGCUGAUUACAGUGAAAGCAAUGCAUGUGCAGAUCUGCAUAAAGAUAUUGUUGUUACUUAUGAGAAUCAUGGACAGAACAAUGACUUGCAGGAAGCUCCGUCAGGAAAGCUGAAUAGGCAUAUUCCCUCUAAAUCCGAGACAAGCAAGUCUACAAGAAUAACAACACAGGAAAUGUUCUUAGUCCUGCAACACUAUGGAUUGGCAGCACCAGAAGAGGGUCUUCCAGAUAUAUCUGUCGAGGAAUACUUUGGUGCUGCUCGCUUGUGGCCAUGGGAAAUGAUCUACUACCGGAGAUUGAAAAAGGGUCCCAUUUCUACUGAGAACUAUGCGAGGCGACUUGAGCAAAACAAGGAAUUUGGCAUUGUGGAUAAGUACAUCAGAAGCAGCAGUGGUUGGGGAGAAUGCAGUCGGGAUGAUUUAUGACAAAACUCUCUGAUGCUGUCUUUAUUUUCAAGAUGCACAUUGAUUGGCAUUUUUGAUGGUGGAACUUUUUUCAUGCUAAUUUUCUUCUAGAAUUUGCCGUGCUCUCCCAUGAUCAGGUUCUUGAGCAUCAUCCAGAGAUUCAAUAUCUGUGUUUCUUGCCCAUGGAUUCUACUUUCUGUGCUGAAAGGUCCUAGCCUGCAGUGCCAUCUUUGUUUUCUUUGCUUUUAUCUUCAAGGUGCAUGCCAUCCUCUUAUGAUUGAAGUAAAAAGUCUGGUUAGAUAGGUGGCAACUGACAUGUUGGUCAUUGAAGUAGCUACUUUAUGGUUCCUAAAUCCAAUCAAUUUUCAUGGUUCUUUGCUUAUUUCAAGUUAUUAACAAGUUGACAACAGUGUUCCAAGGAAUUAAUUUCGGAAAAGGCGUAAAAUCAACAUGAGAGAUCCUCAAAGGACAGAAGUCUAAUAUGUGAAAUAUGGAAAAACAAAAUUUUGGGGUUUAUGCUGGUAAUUGGUUUUUCUUGUAUGGUAAUCAGGGUGUGUUUCACACGCUCUCUAAGGCACAUGUUUCGCAAGAACAAUGAAUAUUUUUUUGACACUAUUUAUUCUCUCUCUUGUUCUACCAGGUUGCUCUGUUUUGGUUUUAUGAUAUGUGAUUUUGUAAUUAUCUGUGCAUUCAGAAGUUGGAGUAUAUCAUUACACAACCACCAAAUUAAUGUAAAUAUUGUCGAAUGGUUCACAAGCUUCUGAUAUUCGUUUUGCACGUGAUUAUGAAGGCUAAUAUGUAACAUUUUAGUGCUCAUAUAAAUGUCAGAAUUGUUUGAAACUUUCAGUUUUUCAGUGCAUCAGAUAUCUGUCACUAAGCAUAGACACCUUUUUUUUUUGUGAACUUGUGCCUUAUUAAGAACUUGUGCUUUUAAUGAAGACAGAUCAUGCCAUGGUUAAGCUCUUAAAUUUAACAGAAUUUGUUAUACCCUGCUCGGCUUCAUUCAUGACUUCGCUCCGGCUAUUCAUAUGCUUUCAAUUUACCUCUCAGCAUGUGUCCAGGUUUAGACUACAACCUAUUGCAAUUGCAAUGAGAAGCCGAUUGUGAAUGAGGCAUUGGACAAGAUUCAGCCUCCCACUGUAUCACCCUAAUUUCCGUGUGUGAUUCAUGGAAGCUGUGCAAUACAUGGGGCGGCAGACUUAUCCAAUUCCAUUGUAAUAGCAACGGGUUGUAAUCUAAACCACUUAUCUCACAUGCCUGUGUUGUUUGUCAUUAUCCAUGCAUUCCCAGGCAAAGUGUGUAAAAGAACUGGGUAGGCCACCAUACCAAUUGCUCAGCUACCACAAUUGAAAUUAACCAGACGAUGCAUUUACCACCUUGGGCCCUCAGAAUUGUGUGGUAAAUCAGCUGUUAGAUAGGUGACCUGCAAGUGCAAGCAUUUGCACAAAAGCCAUGUAUGUGGGCAGCUGUUGUAAAGUGAUCAUCAAAGAUGACUGGAAAACGGACAACGCAUGUGGUGGUGUGUUUUUUGUGAAUGCUAUCACGGUGUAUAAACAGGAUUAUGAUUUGGUCUUGCCUGUCAA